rnacentral:rRNA from 1 species
CGCCUAACACAUGCAAGUCGAACGCAGUAGCAAUACUGAGUGGCAAACGGGUGAGUAUAAUGUGGGAAUCUGCCUUUUGGUUUGGAAUAACACGGGGAAACUUGUGCUAAUACCGGAUAAGCCCUUACGGGGAAAGUUUUAACGCCGAAAGAUGAGCCUGCACUUGAUUAGCUAGUUGGUAAGGUAAAAGCUUACCAAGGCAACGAUCAAUAGCUGUUCUUAGAGGAAGACCAGCCACAUUGGGACUGAGACACGGCCCAGACUCCUACGGGAGGCAGCAGUGGGGAAUCUUGCACAAUGGGGGAAACCCUGAUGCAGCGAUGCCGCGUGAGUGAAGAAGGCCCUUGGGUUGUAAAACUCUUUCGUCGGGGAAGAAAAUGACUGUACCCGAAUAAGAAGGUCCGGCUAACU